UACAGAGGUCUCAAGCGUUGUUCGGAUUCAUUGGGCGUAAAGGGUGCGUAGGUGGCGCUGUAAGUCGGGUGUGAAAUUUCGGAGCUUAACUCCGAAACUGCAUUCGAUACUGCGGUGCUUGAGGACUGGAGAGGAGACUGGAAUUCAUGGUGUAGCAGUGAAAUGCGUAGAGAUCAUGAGGAAGACCAGUGGCGAAGGCGGGUCUCUGGGCCGAUACUGACGCUGAGGAGCGAAAGCGUGGGGGAGCGAACAGG
rnacentral:rRNA from 1 species